rnacentral:rRNA from 1 species
UACGUAGGGUGCAAGCGUUGUCCGGAAUUAUUGGGCGUAAAGAGCUCGUAGGCGGUUUGUCGCGUCGAAUGUGAAAACCCGGGGCUCAACCCCGGGCCUGCAUUCGAUACGGGCAGACUAGAGUUCGGUAGGGGAGUCUGGAAUUCCUGGUGUAGCGGUGAAAUGCGCAGAGUAUCAGGAGGAACACCGGUGGCGAAGGCGGGACUCUGGGCCGAUACUGACGCUGAGGAGCGAAAGCAAGGGGAGCGAACGGG